GGGUAAGGUGCCUCUUCCGGAUGGUGGCCUACAGAAGGUUGUAGUUGAAGGGGCUGCGGAGGUUGAGAAUAUUGCGGUGGAGGUGCUGGUUGAUAUGGUUGAUGAGGUGGUGUUGCAGGAGGGAGCUGUGGUUGCUGAGUAGGUGGCAUUGGAAAUUGCUGACUAGGAGUCUCUUGAGUUUGACCAGGCGGUGGAUAGUAAGGGUCUUGCUGAGGAACAGAAGGAACAUGGCUCUGAGGGAACUGGUUCGCAUGCUGAACCGGUGGUGGCAAACUCGGCUGGGGAAG
rnacentral:lncRNA from 1 species